GACGAACGCUGGCGGCGUGCUUAACACAUGCAAGUCGAACGGAAAGGCUCCAGCUUGCUGGAGUACUCGAGUGGCGAACGGGUGAGUAACACGUGGGUAAUCUGCCCUGCACUCUGGGAUAAGCCUGGGAAACUGGGUCUAAUACUGGAUAUGACCUUUCUCCUUAUGGGGUUUGGUGGAAAGUUUUUCGGUGUAGGAUGAGCCCGCGGCCUAUCAGCUUGUUGGUGGGGUGAUGGCCUACCAAGGCGACGACGGGUAGCCGGCCUGAGAGGGUGAUCGGCCACAUUGGGACUGAGAUACGGCCCAGACUCCUACGGGAGGCAGCAGUGGGGAAUAUUGCACAAUGGGCGGAAGCCCGAUGCAGCGACGCCGCGUGAGGGAUGACGGCCUUCGGGUUGUAAACCUCUUUCAGCAGGGACGAAGCGUAAGUGACGGUACCUGCAGAAGAAGCACCGGCUAACUAUGUG
rnacentral:rRNA from 1 species